CCAGUAACGGCGAGUGAAGCGGCAACAGCUCAAAUUUGAAAUCUGGCUCUUUUAGAGUCCGAGUUGUAAUUUGCAGAGGGCGCUUUGGCUUUGGCAGCGGUCCAAGUUCCUUGGAACAGGACGUCACAGAGGGUGAGAAUCCCGUACGUGGUCGCUGGCUAUUGCCGUGUAAAGCCCCUUCGACGAGUCGAGUUGUUUGGGAAUGCAGCUCUAAAUGGGAGGUACAUUUCUUCUAAAGCUAAAUAUUGGCCAGAGACCGAUAGCGCACAAGUAGAGUGAUCGAAAGAUGAAAAGCACUUUGGAAAGAGAGUCAAACAGCACGUGAAAUUGUUGAAAGGGAAGCGCUUGCAGCCAGACUUGCUUGCAGUUGCUCAUCCGGGCUUUUGCCCGGUGCACUCUUCUGCAGGCAGGCCAGCAUCAGUUUGGGCGGUAAGAUAAAGGUCUCUGUCACGUACCUCUCUUCGGGGAGGCCUUAUAGGGGAGACGACAUAUUACCAGCCUGGACUGAGGUCCGCGCAUCUGCUAGGAUGCUGGCGUAAUGGCUGUAAGCGGCCCGUCUUGAAACACGGACCAAGGAGUCUAACAUCUAUGCGAGUGUUUGGGUGUCAAGCCCGAGCGCGUAAUGAAAGUGAACGGAGGUAGGAACCCGCAAGGGUGCACUAUCGACCGAUCCUGAUGUCUUCGGAAGGAUUUGAGUAAGAGCAUGGCUGUUGGGACCCGAAAGAUGGUGAACUAUGCUUGAAUAGGGUGAAGCCAGAGGAAACUCUGGUGGAGGCUCGCAGCGGUUCUGACGUGCAAAUCGAUCGUCAAAUUUGGGCAUAGGGGCGAAAGACUAAU
rnacentral:rRNA from 1 species